CAAUAGCGUAUAUUAAAGUUGUUGCAGUUAAAAAGCUCGUAGUUGGAUUUCUGGUCGGAAGCUCCUGUCCUCUGAUGAGCGUACAAGUGCGUCCUACCAUCCUUCUGUUAACCUUUAAGGCUUUCGCGGCUUUCUAGGGGCUCAGAUAUUUUACCUUGAGAAAAUUAGAGUGUUUCAGGCAGGCUAGCGCCGGAAUACAUUAGCAUGGAAUAAUGGAAUAGGACUUUUGCCUCUUCUGUUGGUCAUGAGGCUCGAGUAAUGAUUAAUAGGGAUAGUUGGGGGCAUUAGUACUUAACUGUCAGAGGUGAAAUUCUCGGAUUUGUUAAAGACGGACUACUGCGAAAGCAUUUGCCAAGGAUGUUUUCAUUGA
rnacentral:rRNA from 1 species